rnacentral:tRNA from 11 species
GCCCAGGUGGUGAAAUUGGUAGACUCAGGGGACUCAAAAUCCCCCGCCGCAAGGCGUGCCGGUUCGAGUCCGGCCCUGGGCACCA